rnacentral:rRNA from 1 species
GACGAACGCUGGCGGCGUGCUUAACACAUGCAAGUCGAACGGAAAGGCCCUGCUUUUGUGGGGUGCUCGAGUGGCGAACGGGUGAGUAACACGUGAGUAACCUGCCCUUGACUUUGGGAUAACUUCAGGAAACUGGGGCUAAUACCGGAUAGGAGCUCCUGCUGCAUGGUGGGGGUUGGAAAGUUUCGGCGGUUGGGGAUGGACUCGAGGCUUAUCAGCUUGUUUGUGGGGUAGUGGCUUACCAAGGCUUUGACGGGUAGCCGGCCUGAGAGGGUGACCGGCCACAUUGGGACUGAGAUACGGCCCAGACUCCUACGGGAGGCAGCAGUGGAGAAUAUUGCACAAUGGGCGGAAGCCUGAGGCAGCAACGCCGCGUGCGGGAUGACGGCCUUCGGGUUGUAAACCGCUUUCGCCUGUGACGAAGCGUGAGUGACGGUAAUGGGUAAAGAAGCACCGGCUAACUACGUG